CCUACGGGCGGCAGCAGUGGGGAAUAUUGCGCAAUGGGCGAAAGCCUGACGCAGCAACGCCGCGUGCGGGAUGACGGCCUUCGGGUUGUAAACCGCUUUCAGCAGGGACGAAGCAACACGUGACGGUACCUGCAGAAGAAGCACCGGCCAACUACGUGCCAGCAGCCGCGGUGAUACGUAGGGUGCGAGCGUUGUCCGGAAUUAUUGGGCGUAAAGAGCUUGUAGGCGGUCUAUUGCGUCGAAAGUGAAAACUCAGGGCUCAACCCUGAGCCUGCUCUCGAUACGGGCAGACUUGAGGGAUGUAGGGGAGAACGGAAUUCUUGGUGGAGCGGUGGAAUGCGCAGAUAUCAGGAGGAACACCGGUGGCGAAGGCGGUUCUCUGGACAUUUCCUGACGCUGAGAAGCGAAAGCGUGGGUAGCAAACAGGCUUAGAUACCCCGGUAGUC
rnacentral:rRNA from 1 species